UCGGGGUGCCCAGGCGCGAAAACUUUGCAAUACACGAAAGUGUGACAGGGUCAUCCCGAGUGCCGACCGCUGAGGUUGGCUUUUACCCAGUCUAGAAAGCUGGGGGAAUAAGGAGAGGGCAAGUCUGGUGUCAGCCGCCGCGGUAAUACCAGCUCUCCGAGUGGUGUGGACGUUUAUUGGGCCUAAAGCAUCCGUAGCUGGCUGAACAAGUCCCCUGUUAAACCCACCGAUUUAAUCGUUGGUCUGCGGGGGAUACUGCUCGGCUAGGGGACGAGAGAGGCAGACGGUAUUCCCGGGGUAGGGGUGAAAUCCUAUAAUCCCGAGAAGACCACCAGUGGCGAAGGCUGUCUGCUAGAACGCGCCCGACGGUGAGGGAUGAAAGCUGGGGGAGCGAACCGGAUUAGAUACCCGGGUAGUCCCAGCUGUAAACGAUGCAGACUAGGUGUUUGGACGGCCACGUGCCGUUCUAGUGCCGCAGGGAAGCUGUUAAGUCUGCCGCCUGGGGAGUACGAUCGCAAGAUUGAAACUUAAAGGAAUUGGCGGGGGAGCAC
rnacentral:rRNA from 1 species